GGUAUGGGAUGAGCUUGCGUCCGAUUAGCUAGUAGGCGGGGCAACGGCCCACCUAGGCGACGAUCGGUAGCCGGCCUGAGAGGGUGAUCGGCCACAUUGGGACUGAGAUACGGCCCAGACUCCUACGGGAGGCAGCAGUAGGGAAUAUUGCACAAUGGGGGGAACCCUGAUGCAGCAACGCCACGUGUGGGAAGAAGCAUUUCGGUGUGUAAACCACUGUCGUGAGGGAAUAAGGCUGUUUUUCGGAGCAGUUGAAUGUACCUCGAAAGGAAGCACCGGCAAACUUCGUGCCAGCAGCCGCGGUAAUACGAGGGGUGCAAGCGUUGUUCGGAAUCACUGGGCGUAAAGGGAGCGCAGGCGGAGGUGCAAGCAAUCUGUACAAUCCCGGGGCCCAACCCCGGUCCUGCAGAUUGGACUGCAUUUCUUGGAUAGUUCAGGGGCAGGC
rnacentral:rRNA from 1 species